rnacentral:misc_RNA from 1 species
AGGCAUAGUUCUCCAGAGCAUUCUUGGCCUCCACUUUCUUCUUAUGCUCCUCAUCCUCAGCCUUGUACUUUUCAGCCUCCUGCACCAACUUCUCAAUCUCCUCCUUGCUCAGCCUUCCCUUGUCAUUGGUAAUGGUUAUCUUGUUCUUCUGCCCUGUGGUCUUGUCCUCAGCCGACACAUUUAAUAUACCAUUUGCAUCAAUAUCAAAGCAGACGGUAAUCUGCGGGACACCCCUAGGAGCAGGAGGGAUGCCAGAAAGCUCGAACUUGCCAAGCAGAUUGUUGUCUUUUGUCUUAGCCCUCUCGCCCUCAUACACUUGGAUCAACACACCAGGCUGGUUA